UACGGGGGGGGCAAGCGUUGUUCGGAAUUACUGGGCGUAAAGGGCUCGUAGGCGGCCAACUAAGUCAGACGUGAAAUCCCUCGGCUUAACCGGGGAACUGCAUCUGAUACUGGAUGGCUUGAGUUCGGGAGAGGGAUGCGGAAUUCCAGGUGUAGCGGUGAAAUGCGUAGAUAUCUGGAGGAACACCGGUGGCGAAGGCGGCAUCCUGGACCAAUAUUGACGCUGAGGAGCGAAAGCUAGGGGAGCAAACGGG
rnacentral:rRNA from 1 species